rnacentral:tRNA from 1 species
UGUCCAGGGGCGGGAAUCUAACCCACAACCUUCUGCUUACCGGGCAGGUGCCAUGUCCACUAGGCUAUCCUGGAC